UUUUAUUAGCGUUAUUUUACUAAUUUUUAUACCCCUGCCUAAGUCUCCUGCUAAGCGUGUCACACGACUAUAUACUUAUCGGAAAACUGUUAAAUUUGAAGGUUUUGCGGAUGACUCAUCGGAUGACUCAUAUUUUUUGUUCUUUAUACGGUUUGCUUACGUUGUUUUGGUUAUAAUAAUGGUAAUUUUAUUUCACGUUUUCUGAUACAGUAUUUGAUAGAGUUAAUUUUACAGUUAUUUAUAUUUUUCCAUAUAGAAUUAUACUACCAUUGACACUUGUUCUGGCUCUCUUAUCAGUAGCCUAAUCAGCAUCUGAAGACAACUAUCCAGGGUUCAUUAGUUGGACAAUCUAGAAACCUACUUAAAUAGGAUACUGCAUAACCAAUGUCUGGUCUACUGUUCUCUAUCCUCCUGUCAACUGCCUAUAGAGUAUAUUAACACAUGUCGCUCUGGGUUUUGAGUAUAUUAUUCACUGAAUAUUCUGUAAUAAAGUAAAUGUAAUAAAAGUUUCACCCGGUCUAUAAACA